rfam:Cicer arietinum chromosome Ca8, whole genome shotgun sequence.
AUACUUACCUGGAUGGGGUCAACGGGUGAUCAAGAAGGCUCAUGGCCUAGGGUAGUGACCUCCAUUGCACACAAAGGAAGGGUGUUAGCCUAAGGUCUACCCAAGUGGUGGAUCCUACACAAUAAUUUGUGAUUGUGGGGGUCAGCAUUCGCGCGACCCUUU